rnacentral:misc_RNA from 1 species
UCUAGUUUCUAAGGAGUAAGGACCACUUUUGAUUGUUGUCGACUUGUUGUGUUAAUUGAAACUGAAGUAUUUGUCACUUUGUUAGUUGUUACUUUGUUACUNUACACAGUUGACACUUGAGUCUGGAAUUCUAGAUUCUGUAAUGAAAGAACUCGGUGGUCAAUCCUCAAAUUUUAAUUUAUAAAGCACAUCAUAUGUGUUGAGUAUAAAAAUUUGUUAAUAUCUAUAGUCAAUACCCUGUUCAUAAUUUUGAGGAUUUUACGUGACAAUGUGCAGNGUUGACGAAGAAGGUGCUGAAGUCUUUGAAGUACUCAAACUCAUUGAACCAUUAGAAUUAAAAUGCCGUAAAUGUCUAUUCGAAGAUGGAAAUGUUGUUUUACAAAAGAAAUUUGUAUACUGCAAGACUUGUUUUGUGUCUAUGGUUACUCAUAAGUUCCGCGCUACCAUUGGCAAAUCAAAAUUAGUCAAUAGAGGUGAACGUGUUCUGGUAUGUGUAAGUGGAUCCCAAUCUUCAGUAACUUUACUACAUAUGAUAUGGACUGGACUACAGCAAUCUACUUACAAGAGAUUNACAUUUGAUCCUGUAGUGUUAUAUAUUGAUGAGAGUGUUUUAUAUGAUUAUCCCCAGGAUCAAGUGAAUAAAAUUCAAGAACUUUUUGAAAAAUAUGGUUUGACUUACCACAUAGUAAAGUUUGCUGCAGCUGUUUAUUCGGAUAAUUGUUUGAAUGAAGACACUAAUAUUGACCAAUAUAAUGAUAAACUAAAAAAUAUUUUUAGCAAUCUAUCUGACCUUACAUUAAAAGAAGAUAUGUUAAUGAAACUUCGUAAACGUGCAAUUACAAAAUUGGCUGAAUUGUUAAAAUGUACCCGGAUAAUGACAGCAGAAAAUGAACAUAAAUUGUCUAUUAGAUUGCUUUCAAAUGUAGCUCUAGGUCGUGGAUCUCAAAUAUCUUUGGACAUAGGGCUUUCAGUUAAUAAUAAAAAUAAUGACAAAACAUCUUUAGUUACAAUACGACCAAUAAGGAAUCUGUCUGCUAAAGAAAUUGCAUAUUAUGCUUUGUUCAAUAAGUUGGAAGAUUUUAUGCACUCAAAUUUCUUAACAGCUACUAGUGAAGAUGAAUCAAUUCAAAAAACUACAGAACGGUUUGUGAACGAUUUGCAAGUCGAUUUUCCGUCUACCGUGUCCACAAUAUUUAGAACUGGAGAAAAAAUAUCUGAAAAAACAUCAGCUAUAGCUUAUUGUUUAUUAUGUCAAGUAUGUAAUUUAUUCUCAGUGUUGGCUCUUUUUUUUUGUACAAAUAUCUCCAGUUACACUAAAAAGCAUUUUAACAUUAACACUUGAAAGAGGUGUUCACCAAAAUUUGUUUCAUCCUAGAUAAUCUGUUUAAAACGACUAUGUAAACUAUAUUAUAAUAACGCUCAACUUCACCAUUGGGUUGAUCAAUAAUGGCAUUAUGGAUGUCAACAUGUCACCUUCUUCAGCUAUGGAAGCAACAAAGUAUUCAAAAUAUGUUUCGCUAAUGGGAGUU